rnacentral:rRNA from 1 species
UUAGUACCAGCACGUUAUGGUGGGCACUCUAAGGAGACUGCCGGUGGACAACCGGAGGAAGGUGGGGAUGACGUCAAGUCAUCAUGGCCCUUACGGCCUGGGCUACACACGUGCUACAAUGGUCGGUACAAAGGGUUGCCAAGCCGCGAGGUGGAGCUAAUCCCAUAAAACCGAUCGUAGUCCGGAUCGCAGUCUGCAACUCGACUGCGUGAAGUCGGAAUCGCUAGUAAUCGUGAAUCAGAAUGUCACGGUGAAUACGUUCCCGGGCCUU